AUUGAACGCUGGCGGCAGGCUUAACACAUGCAAGUCGAGCGGCCGUAGCAAUACGGCAGCGGCAGACGGGAGAGUAACACGUGGGAACGUACCCUUCAGUUCGGAACAACCCAGGGAAACUUGGGCUAAUACCGAAUACGUCCGUAAGGAGAAAGAUUUAUCGCUGAAGGAUCGGCCCGCGUCUGAUUAGCUAGUUGGUGAGGUAACGGCUCACCAAGGCGACGAUCAGUAGCUGGUCUGAGAGGAUGAUCAGCCUCACUGGGACUGAGACACGGCCCAGACUCCUACGGGAGGCAGCAGUGGGGAAUAUUGGACAAUGGGCGCAAGCCUGAUCCAGCCAUGCCGCGUGGAUGAUGAAGGCCUUAGGGUUGUAAAGUCCUUUUAACGGGGAAGAUAAUGACGGUACCCGUAGAAUAAGCCCCGGCUAACUUCGUGCCAGCCGCCGCGGUAA
rnacentral:rRNA from 1 species